AGUGAACGCUGGCGGUAGGCCUAACACAUGCAAGUCGAACGGCAGCACAGUAAGAGCUUGCUCUUACGGGUGGCGAGUGGCGGACGGGUGAGGAAUACAUUGGAAUUUACUUUUUCGAGGGGGAUCUCGUAGGGAAAGUUACGCUCAUACUGAAUACGAACUACGGGUGAAAGCAGGCGCUUUUCGGAACUUGCGCGAUUGAAUGAGCCAAUGUCGGAUCAGCUAGUUGGCGGGGUAAAGGCCCGACAAGGCGACGAUCCGUAGCUGGUCUGAGAGAGUGAUCAGGUACACGGUAACAGAGACACAUUACACACUCCUACGCUGAGCAGCAGUGGAGAAUAUUGGACGAUGGACGCGAGCCUAAUCCUGCCAUACCGCGUGAGUGAAGAAGGCCUUCGGGUUGGAAAGCCCUUUUGUUGUGAGAGAAAAACAGCAGGUUAAUACCCCGCUGUGCUGACGGUACCCAAAGAAUAAGCACCGGCUAACUUCGUG
rnacentral:rRNA from 1 species